rnacentral:rRNA from 1 species
UACAGGGGGGGCAAGCGUUGUUCGGAAUUACUGGGCGUAAAGGGCCAGUAGGCGGCCAACUAAGUCACACGUGAAAUCCCCGGGCUUAGCCCGGGAACUGCGUGUGAUACUGGAUGGCUUGAAUUCGGGAGAGGGAUGCAGAAUUCCAGGUGUAGCGGUGAAAUGCGUAGAUAUCUGGAGGAAUACCGGUGGCGAAGGCGGCAUCCUGGACCGACAUUGACGCUGAACGGCGAAAGCUAGGGGAGCAAACGGG